CAACCUGCCGACAACUCUGGGAUAGCCUUUCGAAAGAAAGAUUAAUACCGGAUGGUAUAGUUUUCCCGCAUGGGAUGAUUAUUAAAGAAUUUCGGUUGUCGAUGGGGAUGCGUUCCAUUAGGCAGUUGGCGGGGUAACGGCCCACCAAACCUACGAUGGAUAGGGGUUCUGAGAGGAAGGUCCCCCACAUUGGAACUGAGACACGGUCCAAACUCCUACGGGAGGCAGCAGUGAGGAAUAUUGGUCAAUGGACGAGAGUCUGAACCAGCCAAGUAGCGUGAAGGAUGACUGCCCUAUGGGUUGUAAACUUCUUUUAUACGGGAAUAAAGUGAGCCACGUGUGGUUUUUUGUAUGUACCGUAUGAAUAAGGAUCGGCUAACUCCGUGCCAGCAGCCGCGGUAAUACGGAGGAUUCGAGCGUUAUCCGGAUUUAUCGGGUUUAAAGGGAGCGUAGGCGGGUUGUUAAGUCAGUUGUGAAAGUUUGCGGCUCGACCGUAAAAUUGCAGUUGAUACUGGCGACCUUGAGUGCAACAGAGGUAGGCGGAAUUCGUGGUGUAGCGGUGAAAUGCUUAGAUAUCACGAAGAACUCCGAUUG
rnacentral:rRNA from 1 species